rnacentral:rRNA from 1 species
CUCCCGCCGGCGACCGGCGCACGGGUGAGUAACACGUAUGAAACCUGCCCGUAGGCAGGGGGAUAAGCGGAAGAAAUUCCGUCUAAUACCGCGUAACAACCCGAGGAGGCAUCUCCUCGGGUUUAAAGGAAGCGAUUCCGGCUACGGAUGGUCAUGCGUCGCAUUAGCUAGUUGGCGGGGUAACGGCCCACCAAGGCGACGAUGCGUAGGGGUUCUGAGAGGAAGGUCCCCCACACUGAUACUGAGACACGGACCAGACUCCUACGGAAGGCAGCAG